rnacentral:rRNA from 1 species
UACAGAGGGUGCAAGCGUUGUUCGGAAUUAUUGGGCGUAAAGCACGUGUAGGCGGCUUUGCAAGUCGGGUGUGAAAGCCCCUCGGCUCAACCGAGGAAGUGCGCCCGAAACUGCAGAGCUUGAGUACCGGAGAGGAUGGCGGAAUUCCCCAAGUAGAGGUGAAAAUUCGUAGAUAUGGGGAGGAACACCGGUGGCGAAGGCGGCCAUCUGGACGGAUACUGACGCUGAGACGCGAAAGCGU